GUGGUUGUCACAGGACUGAGUGAAAACUGAAAGCCAGUUGUGACAAGAAAUGACGACAAAGCUCUGAGAGUAGAGCUUUAGGGGGCUUUCUGUUACCCUGAAUAGCCUGUCUAAUGAAAUCAUGCCAGCAUUAUAAUUGUGGUUAUGAAGUGAUGCACACUAUUCACGGAAUAGGAAAUUACACUUUCCAUAGUGUCAGUCUGGAGCCAGCUAAACAAAGGCUGUCCAUUCAUCCUCAGUUUUUCCAGAUGCUUCCAGAAGUAUGCUUAGUGAUAAAAAAUUUAUCCCACCCAUAUUUUGCUACUAAGUGGCUUGUUGGGAGAGGCAGUCCUGUACAGAAAUUCCAGAUUUCUUCACACACAGCUGAUGAGCAGUUGCCCAGUUGAUGUCCACUCGAGGAGAGAAUUAUAUGGAAGUGGAAUUAUGAAGGCUAAAGAAGUUUAGCUGUUAGUUAGCAGUCACUGUCCACAAUAGAGAUUCAUGUAGUACCGCUGAAGUCAAGCCAUACGGGGAGAAGAUUUCAUG